CCGGAGGGUCUAGCUGAUUCCAGAUUGAUUCAGAUUCCAAUCAAUCUGAAGCUAGGUGUUGCCUGAAAGCCUCCCCUUUGGGACACUUAACAGGCCUUGGCACACCCUCAUUUCCUAAGAGCUAUUAAAAAUAAGACUGGCUGCUUGGACAAUCACAAAGAUUUGAGAGAUGGCUGAGAGCUAGGGCAGAGAUGAAACAUAAGAUUCAUCUCCCACAUGAGACCGCUUCUUCAAGACUCGGAGAGGUGGCUGUUUUAUCUAACGCAAAGAAACCAACACAGAGAGUUAAGCAAAAUGAAGAAACAAAGGACUAUAUUCCAAAUGAAAGAACAAGAUAAAAUCUCAGGGAAAAAUCCUUAAUGAAAUGCAGAAAGAUAAUCUACCCAACAGAGUGUUCAAAGUAAUGGUCAUUAAGAUGUUUGCUAAACUUGGGAGAACAAUGGAAAAACACAGAGAAAAUCUAACUACCAAAGGGGUGUCACAGAACCAAAGAAUACUAUAACUGAACAGAAAAAUAAAUCCAUUCCUGUUCAGAAUCUCAGAAAAAUGGGAUGACAUGAUGAAAAAUUCAGUGUCUGGAGGUCCGUAGACCCAGUUCUACAGCCUGAUCAUCAGUUGCUUCUGAGGUCAGAGGCAAGUUAGAACCUGACUCUCUGUUGGUUAACUGAGUUUUAAACCAGCUAUUAUCUUAGGUGCUUUCAACUUGCUACCAGAUGGUUCCUAAGACCCUGUCUGUAGUUCAUAAAAGUAAAUAGAAAAGCAGGCUAAAGACACACAACAAAACAGUCAACCAGGAUAGAAGACCAUGCUCUUGUUUGCCGACUGUCUCUACCUUCUUCCUUCCAUGUGUCAGGAUGACUGGAAGAAGUAGAGGCAGAAAAAUAUGUUCACGGUCUACUUCUCCUCUCCUUCAACAAACAAAAAGCUGUAGGUUGUCUUUUAUCACAUCCAGUAUUCAGAAAUUUAUGUGCUGAUGUCAAGGCACUGUGUAAGGAAGCAUAACCCACUGAAUCCAAUGACAGCCGACACCUGUUGCACUGACCUUCCAGCUCAUCCUCCUCAGCGACUCAUUGGAAAAGACUGUGAUGCUGGGAGGGACUGGGAGCAGGAGGAGAAGGGGACGACAGAGGAUGAGAUGGCUGGAUGGCAUCACUGACUCGAUGGACAUGGAUUCUCAUUUAUUUUUGUAUGAAUAUGUAG
ensembl:lncRNA